rnacentral:snRNA from 1 species
ACAUCUACCUAGCAGGGAGAAACCGUGGUCACAAAGGUGGUUUUCCCAGGACGAGGUUCAUCAAUUGCACGCUGGAUACGCUGAUCCCUGUGAUUUCCCCAGAUGAAGGAAACACCGCUGCGUAAUGUGUGGUUGUGUGUGCACUACCACAUG